UGUCCCCUAGAAUCUGUUAUUCCUAACCAAAGGCACCACUGAGAGGCAAUGGGACCUUAAGUGGGGAACCUUAUACUUGGAAGAAUCUGGGUCAUUGGUGACAUAUCUUUGAAAGACAUGUUAGUGCCCCAUGUCCUUGCUCUCUCUCACUCUCUUUCACUUUCUGGCCACCAUGCAUUGAUCAGCCUUGCUCUGCCAUGUGCUUCUUGACAUAAUAUGCUGCCUCCCCACAAGUCUAACACCAGUGGGGAAAAACAAACAGGAACUAAAUCCACUGAAAGGUUGAACCAAAUAACCUUUUCUUUUAAGUUGAAUGUCUCGGGUACUUUAUUACCAUAAUAGAAAGCUGACUGAGAUAGAGGGAGGAAGAUAGGAGAAGGGGAAAGAGGAGGAAGAAAGGGAGAAAGGAAGAAAAGAAGGAAUGGAGGUAAAAGGGGAGAGAGAAAUAGGAGUGAAGUGGGAGAGGGGAGGGAGAGGAAGAAGACAUCUACAACUGUAUGUUCAGUACAUCAAUUCCUCUGACCCUAGUGGACGCUAAGGUCACUCCACUAGGAGUGUUCUUACAACUCACAAUCCUGGAUUCAUACACACUUUACAUCUCCACUCUCAAAUUCUACAUGAGCAUUCUGAAGAAAUCAUCUACCUGUGAGAACAAGGCAAAAUAACCAACAAUGAGAAAGUGUCAAGCUCCAACUGCUCUGGAGAUAUACCACCGAGCUCACUGCACACAAGUAGAGAUGUGGAGUCAAAGCACCUUGCAGCUAUUCCGUACUGAAGCAGGGCAGAGUCAUCCAAGUUCUACCAAGAGCACCAUAGUCUGCGGUCUCCCCCCAGGGGAUGCAAGCACAUGAUGAGAACAAACUGGACCUGGGAAUGGAAGGAGUAGUCAGAUGAGGAUGAGGAAGACCACCAGGAGUACAGAGCAUGGUGCAGAGUCAUAGCUACGAAGGUUCAACAUGGGAAAUGCCUUGGACACCAACAGCCCCAUACUGUGUUUCAUAUGUGUGAAUGUGACAAAGUAGCUGUUGGGAUAAGUGAAGGCAAGAGGAAAGAAAGGGAAAUGAGGACAUGUAGGUUGAUGUCAUUAUGCAGGUGCGGACUGGCACAAGUUAGGUCAAGGCCAUGAUUGGACAGUAAACAAUUAAGGCGGGGACAAAGCAUUUGUAAGUCCGGAGAGAAGGGGAAGGAGGACAAUCAAGUUGGAGAUGGAGAAGGGUGACCCAGAUCUGGGUGGUCUUGAAUUGCCAAGGUAGUUGGGAGGGAUUUCUGCAAGCAAAUUUGUCUUAUCUAGGUAGGUGGUUUAUAUCUUUAUCAAUUGGUUGUGAGUUCAUUGUGAGGAUGUAUUGUGGAUUGAGAAUUUAACAUACAGAUCUGAUUGAUAAGUUA